GACGAACGCUGGCGGCGUGCCUAAUACAUGCAAGUCGAACGAGAGCGACUGGUGCUUGCACUGGUCAAUCUAGUGGCGAACGGGUGAGUAACACGUGGGUAACCUGCCCAUCAGAGGGGGAUAACAUCCGGAAACGGAUGCUAAAACCGCAUAGGUCCUUUAACCGCAUGGUUGAAGGAGGAAAAGAGGCGCAAGCUUCUGCUGAUGGAUGGACCCGCGGUGCAUUAGCUAGUUGGUGAGGUAACGGCUCACCAAGGCCGUGAUGCAUAGCCGACCUGAGAGGGUGAUCGGCCACAUUGGGACUGAGACACGGCCCAAACUCCUACGGGAGGCAGCAGUAGGGAAUCUUCCGCAAUGGACGCAAGUCUGACGGAGCAACGCCGCGUGAGUGAAGAAG
rnacentral:rRNA from 1 species